GGCAGAGUGGCGUAGUUGGUAGCGCGUUUGGGUUGGUGCCCCGAAAGGUCCGUGGAUCGAAACCACGCUCUGCUU